UACAGAGGUCUCAAGCGUUGUUCGGAUUCAUUGGGCGUAAAGGGUGCGUAGGUGGCGGGGCAAGUCUGGUGUGAAAUCCCGGGGCUCAACCCCGGAACUGCACUGGAUACUGCCUUGCUAGAGCACUGGAGAGGGAACUGGAAUUUACGGUGUAGCAGUGAAAUGCGUAGAUAUCGUAAGGAAGACCAGUGGCGAAGGCGAGUUCCUGGACAGUUGCUGACACUGAGGCACGAAGGCUAGGGGAGCAAAGCGGG
rnacentral:rRNA from 1 species